AUUGAACGCUGGCGGAAUGCUUUACACAUGCAAGUCGAACGGCAGCACGGGGCAACCUGGUGGCGAGUGGCGAACGGGUGAGUAAUACAUCGGAACGUGCCCAAUCGUGGGGGAUAACGUAGCGAAAGUUACGCUAAUACCGCAUACGAUCUACGGAUGAAAGCGGGGGAUCGCAAGACCUCGCGCGAAUGGAGCGGCCGAUGUCAGAUUAGGUAGUUGGUGGGGUAAAGGCUCACCAAGCCGACGAUCUGUAGCUGGUCUGAGAGGACGACCAGCCACACUGGGACUGAGACACGGCCCAGACUCCUACGGGAGGCAGCAGUGGGGAAUUUUGGACAAUGGGGCGCAAGCCUGAUCCAGCCAUUCCGCGUGCAGGAUGAAGGCCUUCGGGUUGUAAACUGCUUUUGUACGGAACGAAACGGUUCUCUCUAAUACAGGGGCUUAAUGACGGUACCGUAAGAAUAAGCACCGGCUAACUACGUG
rnacentral:rRNA from 1 species